rnacentral:rRNA from 1 species
CUCAUUUGGGUUGGGAUAUAGUUAUGUUCGAUUCAUAAUAAUCCGAAAAAGUCAAAAACUUUUAAGAAAUGUAAAAGAUAUAAAAUAAUAUUUAUACAUAAAAAUUAUGUAAGUAUACAAAGAGACUAUUAUGGAAAUCUAUGCUAUAUAUUAAAGAGAAUAAAUUUAUGGUAAAGAUAUCUUAUUAACUCUUAGAGAAAUUAAAUAAUAAACGAAGCGAAGUGAAAUAUCUUAUUAGCUUCAGGAAAAGAAAUCAAAAGAGAUUCUAUGAUUAGUGUGAACGAAAAUAGAGAAGCCUAAUAAGUAAAAUGGUAACAAACUGUUUGAAUAAUAAGGGGAACCUUCCUCUAAGGCUAAAUAUAAUAUAUAAGCGAUAGUAAACUGUACCGUGAGGGAAAGAUAUUGAAAUAGUAGUUUUAUAAGCAGCUCAAACUAUAAAAGUAAGAGCGUACCUUUGGCAUAAUGGGUCACUAAGUUAACAUUAGAUGCAAGCGAAUUUAAUUUGCGUAGUUAAACCGAUCAUCAAAAAAAAUGAAAAGUGUCUAAAGUUAGACCCGAAGCCUGGUGAUCUUACCAUAAUCAGGACUAUAAAGGUCCGAACGGGUUAUCGUUGCAAAGAUAUCCGAAGAAUUAUGGUAAGUGAGUGAAAGACAAUUCUGACCAGGAUAGCUGGUUUUCUGCGAAACCUAUAAUAGUAGGCAAUUUUAAUUACAUCUUAGCAGGUACAGAACUUAAUCUCAGACAAGAUGUAUUUUUUUUCGGCUCUGCUAAGCAGAGCUCUAUAAACUUUGCAAAUAGGCAGAAGCUCGAAAAUACAUUUUAUUCUUGUAUAGAUCGGGGGAUCGUGAAGAUUUUAUUGGUGAGUAUGUAGACUCGGAAUGGCAAAGAUGAAUAUUGAAUGAUCGGACAUAGAGUGAUAAGGUUGUAUGUCAAAAGGGAAACAGCCCAGAACAAGAGUUAAGGUUCCAAAAUUAUUAUUAAGUGAAAUUAAGAAGGUUUUUAUUUAAGUCGACAAGGAGAUGGGCUUAGAAGCAGCCAUAAUUUGAAGAUCUCGUAACAGAGCGCUUGUUAAGUUUUGAAUGCAUCGAGAAUUUAUACGGAUCUAAAUAAUAUACCGAUACCUUGUCCAUAUUUUAAAAUAAUAAAAAAAGUAAAAAUACUUUAUUAGUUUAAUUUUAUGGGGUAGCAGAACGUUGAGUUUAUAUAUGACAUAUCUUUUUUAAAGAUAAUUAUAGGAUAACUCAAGUGAUAAUGGUGACAUGAGUAACUAAAAAGAGUUUUAACUCUCGCCUUAAGCUUAUGGAUAAUAAUAAGUACCGGCCUCUAAGUUUUUAAUCUGAAGGUUAUAACGAUGAGAAAAUCUUAUUACUAUAUUAAUACAACAUUUUUGAGUGAAAAAUGUACUGGAAAAACUUAGUGACUAUACUUAUUUAGGUUAUGGUAACAUAAUCUAAAUAAAUAAGUAUUUUUUAACCGUACCUAGAAUCUGCAACAAGUAAGCUAGUAGAGAAUACGAAGGCGUAAAUGAGAUAACAAUCAUAAAGGAACUCGGCAAACUAACUACCGUAACUUAGGGAUAAGGAGGGCUCAUUAGUCUUGAUUAAUAUCAGGUAAAAAGGAAGAAGCAUGAAAUAUUGUUGUACGACUGUUUAAUUAAAACAAAGCACUUUGCGAAAAGAUGAUAAAUCUAAGUAUUGAGUGUGAUUUCUGCCCGAUGCCGGCUGGUUAACGAAGUAACUAAACUGACAAAAGUUUGGUAUUGCAGGAAACCCCGGUUAAUGGCGGCCUUAACGUGAGGGUCCUAAGGUAGCGAAAUGCCUUGGCCGUUAAAUGCGGUCUUGCAUGAAUGAUGUAACGAUACAACAGCUGUCUCUAUGAUUGACUCAGUGAAAUUGGAAUAACUGUGCAGAUACAGUUUACCUCUAGAUAGACGAGAAGACCCUAUGCAGCUUUACUGUUACUAAUUAUUGAGUAUAACACCUUCAACAAAAGUAAUUGAUAAAAUAUUUUUAUUUGUUUGUUAUAUUAUAAUUUAUUUAAAAUUAAUAUGAUGUAUAUUAUAUUAAUAAUACCCUGAAAUAGGGGGCAUUUGCUAGAAGACAGUUUAUGCGGGGCACAGACCCCACAAAGAGUAAAUGGGUGUGUCCAACAAUUAAUUUACUACCAGAGGGUAUUAAUACCAUAGGGUAGUAAAUUAGAAUUAUUAUUUUUGGCUUUUAAAUAAAGCUCUAAAUAAUUAUUUAUUUAUUUUGUUUGUAAUUAAAUAUAAAUAUAUUUUUUUAAUAUUUAUAUUUAAUCUUAUAUGAUAAUAUUUUAUUUUUAAAAUUAAAUAUAUAUAAAUUUAGGUAGAAUUUUCACUAUAGUGAAAUUAGAGUAGUUAAUUAUAUUAUGAAUAUAUAUUUUAUAAGGCUAACUUGUUAUUUAAAGCAAGUAUCACCGAAAUAUAGUCUAAUAUAGUUGUAGUUGUUAUAAAUAUAAGUUUAUAAUAAUAAUGUUAUGUAUAUAAUUCAAGUUUAACGGCUUAAUUCUGCCUUACUGUUUGAUUA